rnacentral:sRNA from 1 species
GAGGAGGAGCUGGAGGGGGCGCGGCUUCCUCUCGGUCGCUCCCUGGCGCCGGGCCUCUUUCUCUGCCUGGCCCAGGGCUGGCGGCCGGCGGGGGUCGCGGCGGCGGCAGCGGGGGCGCUGGCGGGCCGCGGGUGGCGGGGGCCGGGCCGCGGCUCCGGGUGUUAGGAGACAAGAUGGCGGCGGCGCUCAGAAGGCCGGUCUCCUCCUCUCCGCCGUCCUCCGCCCCGCCGCUCGCCGCCUCCUCCUCUCGGGUCUCCUCCUCCUCGUUCGCUGCCUCCUCCUCCUCCUGCAGCAGCACCAGCGACCGCCGAAGCGCCGGCUCGCUCACCCGGAGCUCCGGAGGUGGAUAGACGGGGCAGCUGCAGGCUCCGGCGACCGAGGCCGAGCUGGGGCCGGGGCGGGGACGGCGGCGGCGGCGGCGGCGACGGCGGCGGCGCCGGGUGGGGAUGGGGUCGCAGACGCUGCAGAUCCUCCGACAGGGGGUGUGGGCCGCGCUCAGCGGGGGCUGGUACUACGACCCGCACCAGGCCACCUUCGUGAACGCGCUGCACCUCUACCUGUGGCUCUUUCUGCUGGGCCUGCCCUUCACCCUCUACAUGGCCCUUCCUUCUACCAUGAUUAUAGUAGCAGUUUAUUGUCCUGUGAUAGCUGCUGUUUUCAUUGUUCUGAAGAUGGUCAACUAUCGACUACACAGAGCACUUGAUGCUGGAGAAGUUGUAGAUAGGACUGCAAAUGAGUUCACGGAUCAGCGAACCAAAGCUGAACAAGGCAACUGUUCAACCAGGAGAAAAGACAGCAAUGGACCGAGUGAUCCUGGUGGAGGGAUUGAAAUGUCUGAGUUCAUCCGAGAGGCCACACCCCCAGUUGGUUGCAGUUCCAGAAAUUCUUAUGCCGGUCUAGAUCCAAGCAACCAGAUUGGAUCUGGUUCCUCGCGUCUUGGAACAGCAGCAACUAUUAAAGGAGAUACAGACACUGCUAAGACUUCUGAUGAUAUCAGUUUAAGUCUGGGCCAAAGUUCUAGUCUUUGUAAGGAAGGAAGUGAAGAACAAGAUUUGGCAGCUGAUCGGAAGCUCUUUCGUCUUGUCUCCAAUGACUCCUUCAUCUCUAUUCAGCCUUCCUUAUCCUCUUGUGGACAGGACUUGCCAAGGGACUUCAGUGACAAAGUGAACCUGCCAAAUCAUAACCACCACCACCAUGUUGAUCAGUCUCUGUCCAGCGCCUGUGACACAGAAGUAGCUUCUCUUGUACCUUUACACUCACACUCUUAUAGAAAAGACCACCGGCCGCGAGGUGUACCACGGACUUCUAGCUCUGCUGUGGCUUUUCCAGACACUUCACUGAAUGAUUUUCCCCUUUAUCAGCAAAGACGUGGAUUAGAUCCAGUUAGUGAGUUAGAAUCUUCCAAGCCUCUUUCUGGAUCCAAAGAAUCCUUGGUGGAAAAUUCUGGUUUAUCUGGGGAAUUUCAGCUUGCUGGUGACUUGAAAAUCAAUACUUCUCAGCCACCCACAAAAAGUGGGAAGAGCAAACCUUUGAAAGCAGACAAAAGCAUGGACAGCUUGAGGAGCCUGAGCACACGGAGUAGUGGGUCAACAGAAAGCUACUGCAGUGGAACGGACCGGGACACUAACAGUACUGUCAGCAGCUAUAAAAGCGAGCAGACCAGCUCAACUCACGUAGAGAGCAUCCUGUCAGAGCAUGAGGAGUCUCCUAAAGCAGGAACAAAAAGUGGGAGGAAGAAAGAGUGCUGUGCAGGCCCAGAGGAGAAGAAUAGCUGUGCCAGUGACAAAAGGACUAGCAGUGAAAAGAUUGCUAUGGAAGCGAGUACCAACAGUGGGGUUCACGAGGCCAAGGACCCCACCCCCUCUGAUGAGAUGCACAACCAGAGAGGUCUCAGCACCUUUGCAUCUGAAGAAGCCAAUAAAAAUCCCCAUGCAAACGAAUUUACUUCCCAAGGGGACAGACCACCUGGGAACACUGCAGAAAACAAAGAAGAGAAGAGUGAUAAGUCAGCUGUUGCUGUGGAUUCCAAAGUGCGUAAAGAUGUUGGUGGAAAGCAAAAGGAAGGGGAUGUUCGACCUAAAUCUUCUAGCGUAAUCCAUCGGACAGCUUCUGCCCACAAGUCAGGCAGGAGACGCACAGGAAAAAAACGGGCUAGCAGUUUUGAUUCAAGCCGGCAUAGGGACUAUGUUUGCUUUCGAGGUGUUUCUGGUACCAAGCCACACAGUGCUAUAUUUUGUCAUGACGAAGACUCUAGUGAUCAAAGUGACUUGAGUAGAGCAUCAAGUGUUCAGUCUGCUCACCAGUUCAGCAGUGAUAGCUCUUCUAGCACCGCUUCUCAUUCCUGUCAGUCUCCUGAGGGCAGAUACAGUGCUCUAAGGACCAAACACACUCAUAAAGAAAGGGGCACAGACUCUGAACACACGCACAAAGCUCAUUUGGUGCCUGAAGGAACCAGCAAAAAGCGUGCAACACGACGGACUUCUAGCACAAAUAGUGCCAAGACUCGUGCCCGAGUGUUGAGCCUGGACAGUGGCACAGUAGCAUGUUUGAAUGACUCAAACAGGUUAAUGGCACCUGAAAGUAUAAAGCCCUUAACCACUUCAAAAUCAGAUCUUGAGGCCAAAGAGGGAGAGGUGCUAGAUGAGCUAUCUUUAUUAGGACGGGCUUCCCAGUUAGAGACAGUCACUCGAUCUAGGAAUAGCUUGCCAAACCAGGUUGCAUUUCCUGAAGGGGAAGAGCAAGAUGCAGUCAGUGGAGCAGCACAAGCCAGCGAGGAGGCAGUGUCAUUUCGCCGUGAACGCAGCACAUUUAGGCGCCAGGCAGUACGGCGCCGGCACAAUGCAGGGAGUAACCCUACCCCUCCUACAUUGCUCAUCGGAUCACCCCUAAGCCUUCAAGAUGGUCAGCAAGGCCAGCAGUCCACAGCCCAGGUCAAAGUCCAGUCCCGCCCCCCUUCCCAGGCUGCAAUGCUCAGUGCUAGUGCCUCCUUGCUGGUAAGUUCUCUUCUACGCUGUAUGAGACUGGUGGCUGUGAUAUGUCACUUGUGAAUUUUGAACCAGCAGCAAGAAGAGCAUCCAAUAUCUGUGACACAGAUUCUCAUGUAUCCAGUUCUACCUCAGUUCGAUUUUAUCCACAUGAUGUGGUAGGUUUUUCUUUAUUUUUACAACAUGAUAAAUUUUCAGAUUAAAUCUGAAAUAUGUAUUUAUAUAGAUAGCUAUAAAAGCCAUAAAAAUUGAUGAAGUUACACAAAAAUUUUUUGAAAACUAUGGCAAAAUCACUUUGCUGUCCUCCAGUGGCUCUCUUUUUCUAAGUCCUUUGAUAAGAAACAAAAGUACAAGGUUCAGAAACCCUGGCAUAGAGUAUUUUAAAAAGUAUUUUGGAAAGUAUUUGUCAAUGCUUAGAGAUAGAAAUGGCUGUGUUAUAUAUAGGAAGUAAAUUUUCUCAACUAUACCCAGAUAUGUGUUUGAAAAGUAAAACCCUCCCUACUUUUUGGCUAUAGUGUAUUCCUGGAAACUGCAUAGGAAAGCAAACAUGGGAAGAUGAUUGUUUUAUUGUUUUCUACUUUUAAAUGGUAUGGGAACCUUGAGAUAGCAAAAUGCUGCCUAGUACUGUGCCAAAUACAGUCAACUUUUGAUGCUUUCUGAGGAAAAGAAAACUGGUAAACUGAUGGAUGGAUGAGUUGAAGUUAAAUAUAGUAUAGUAAUUUGUAUAGCCUCAGGUGAGCAGCUUGCCAAAACAAACAAACAAACAAACAGGGGUGAGGGAUUUGGAAAUAUAGUAACAACAAUGAUAAGAGACUAUGGGAAGAAAUGAGAGUUGCUGCCAUCAGAUCCAAUGCAGUGGAGCUCAGAUUUAACACUGAUAAUGAGGUUCAAAGCUUAAGGAAAAAAGACUAUAAAUGUGAGAAGAGAAGCCACUAACGAUUCACAGUAAGUGGUUUUAGUAGAUUGGCUAGCUAUACAGUUAUAAAAUCUUAAGGUUUUUUCUUAAGCAUUCCCUGAGAAAAAUCUUAAGAUUUUAAACACUUUUCUAAUCAAUUAUUUACAAUAGGUUUAUUGAUUAAUUAACUUUGUUUUAGUUCACUUCCUAUUGUCACCUUCUAUAGUUUCUGGUAAUCAUAACAUAUUCAUAAAGAGUAGGCUGGGCGCGGUGGCUCAUGCCUGUAAUCCCAGCACUUUGAGAGGCCGAGGCGGGUGGAUCACGAGGUCAGGAGUUCAAGACCAGCCUGGCCAAGAUGGUAAAAUCCCGUCUCUACAAAAAAUAGAAAAAGAAUUAGCCGGGCAUGGUGGCAGGUGCCUGUAAUCCCAGCUGCUUGGGAGGCUGAGGCAGAGAAUUGCUUGAACCGGGGAGGCAGAGGUUGCAGUGAGCCGAGAUUGCACCACUGUACUUCAGACAAGACUCUGUCUCAAAAAAAAAAAAAAAA